AUUGAACGCUGGCGGCAUGCUUUACACAUGCAAGUCGAACGGUAGAGGGGCAACCCUUGAGAGUGGCGAACGGGUGAGUAAUGCAUCGGAACGUGCCCAGUAGUGGGGGAUAGCCCGGCGAGAGCCGGAUUAAUACCGCAUACGACCUGAGGGUGAAAGCGGGGGAUCGCAAGACCUCGCGCUAUUGGAGCGGCCGAUGACAGAUUAGGUAGUUGGUGGGGUAAAGGCCUACCAAGCCGACGAUCUGUAGCUGGUCUGAGAGGACGACCAGCCACACUGGGACUGCGACACGGCCCAGACUCCUACGGGAGGCAGCAGUGGGGAAUUUUGGACAAUGGGCGCAAGCCUGAUCCAGCCAUGCCGCGUGCGGGAAGAAGGCCUUCGGGUUGUAAACCGCUUUUGUCAGGGAAGAAAUCUUCUGGGCUAAUACCCCGGGAGGAUGACGGUACCUGAAGAAUAAGCACCGGCUAACUACGUGCCAGCCGCCGCGGUAACAC
rnacentral:rRNA from 1 species